UGUGGCCUACGGGGGGCAGCAGUGGGGAAUAUUGGGCAAUGGGCGCAAGCCUGACCCAGCAACGCCGCGUGAAGGAAGAAGGCUUUCGGUUGUAAACUUCUUUUGUCAGGGACGAAGCAAGUGACGGUACCUGACGAAUAAGCCACGGCUAACUACGUGCCAGCAGCCGCGGUAAUACGUAGGUGGCAAGCGUUAUCCGGAUUUACUGGGUGUAAAGGGCGUGCAGCCGGGAGUGCAAGUCAGAUGUGAAAUCCCGCGGCUCAACCGCGGAACUGCAUUUGAAACUGUGCUUCUUGAGUUCUGGG
rnacentral:rRNA from 1 species